rnacentral:rRNA from 1 species
AUUGAACGCUGGCGGCAUGCCUUACACAUGCAAGUCGAACGGCAGCACGGGAGCAAUCCUGGUGGCGAGUGGCGAACGGGUGAGUAAAGUAUCGGAACGUGCCCAGUCGUGGGGGAUAACGUAGCGAAAGUUACGCUAAUACCGCAUACGAUCUAUGGAUGAAAGCGGGGGAUCGCAAGACCUCGCGCGAUUGGAGCGGCCGAUAUCAGAUUAGGUAGUUGGUGGGGUAAAGGCUCACCAAGCCGACGAUCUGUAGCUGGUCUGAGAGGACGACCAGACACACUGGGACUGAGACCCGGCCCAGACUCCUACGGGAGGCAGCAGUGGGGAAUUUUGGACAAUGGGCGAAAGCCUGAUCCAGCCAUGCCGCGUGCAGGAUGAAGGCCUUCGGGUUGUAAACUGCUUUUGUACGGAACGAAAAGGUUUGGGCUAAUAAGCUGAGCUCAUGACGGUACCGUAAGAAUAAGCACCGGCUAACUACGUGCCAGCCGCCGCAGUAA